AGUCGCUCGAGCGAGGAAGCGGCGGGAGGGCGGCCGUUAGGAAAAUGGCGCCGUGCGGCCCGGGGCAGACACCCGGCACUGGCCGCCGCCUUCCUGGCGCAGCUGCUGUGUCACGGCCACACCGGCCGGCUGUACAGCAGCCAGGAGCCGGUGAACAUUCUGGAGGCGGAUGGGGUUAAGGACCUGCUUGGGAACUGGUCGGGCGCCUGGGUGGUGGAGUUCUACUGGUCGUGGGGCGGCCCCUGUGUCAACUAUGGGGCCACCUGGAAGGUACUGGGCCCGGGAGGUGAAAGGGCCACCAGAAGCCUUCUCAGUACUCUACAAGUGACUUCACCAACAUCCUGUACAACUUCAACAUGAUGUCCCAACUCCUUUAUUCAAUGGUGUGAACAAUUAAGCUACCCAAUGAAGGAGCAGCGCUCCGAAAGCUAGUGCUUCCAAAUAAAACUGUUGGACUAUAACCCGGUGUUGUGAUUUUUAAACCUUGUCCCACCUAGUCCAACAGCAGCACCUCCACCUCCUUUCUAAUGAACACAGCUCAUACCUCCCGGUGCUGCCAGUAAACUGCAGAUGAAACGAUGCAGUGCCUGCACUCCUGAAAAGUUUAUAAUUUCUAAC